ACGGGUGAGUAACGCGUAAACAACCUGCCCUACGGAUGGGGACAACAGCUGGAAACGGCUGCUAAUACCGAAUACGUUCCGAAAGUCUCAUGACUAUCGGAAGAAAGGAUGGCCUCUAUUUAUAAGCUAUCGCCGGAGGAGGGGUUUGCGUCUGAUUAGCUAGUUGGAGGGGUAACGGCCCACCAAGGCGACGAUCAGUAACCGGUCUGAGAGGAUGAACGGCCACAUUGGAACUGAGACACAGUCCAGACUCCUACGGGAGGCAUCAGUGGGGAAUCUUCCGCAAUGGGCGAAAGCCUGACGGAGCAACGCCUCGUGAGUGAAGACGGCCUUCGGGUUGUAAAGCUCUGUUAUACGGGACGGAUAAUCUUGUGGUUAAUACCCAUAAAAAGUGACGGUACCGUAAGAGAAAGCCACGGGUAACUACGUGCCAGCAGCCGCGGUAAUACGUACGUGGCAAGCGUUGUCCGGAAUUAUUGUGCGUAGAGGGCGCGCAUGCGGCUUCUUAAGUCUGUCUUAGAAGUGCGAGGCUUAACCGCGUGAUGGAAUGGAAACUGGGAAGCUCAGAGUAUCGAAGAGGAAAGCGGAAUUCCUAGUGUAGCGGGAAAUGCGUAGAUAUUACGAGGAACACCAAUGGCGAAAGCGGCUUUCUGGACCAAAACUGACGCUGAUGCGCGAAAGCCAGUGGGAGCGAACGGCAUUACAU
rnacentral:rRNA from 1 species